rnacentral:rRNA from 1 species
UCAAGCUAGAAAGGGCGUACGGCGGAUGCCUAGGCGGUGGGAGGCGAAGAAGGACGUGGACAGCUGCGAUAAGCUCCGGGGAGUCGCUAACAGACAGUAAUCCGGAGAUCUCCGAAUGGGGCAACCCGACAGGGUCAACCUGUCAACCGUUGGUCAAUUCAUAGCCAACGCGUAGCCAACCCAGGGAACUGAAACAUCUAAGUACCUGGAGGAAAAGAAAGCAACAGCGAUUCCCUCAGUAGCGGCGAGCGAACGGGGAACAGCCUAAACCUGUCGACGCGAGUCGGCAGGGGUCGUGGGGCUCGCGCCCUGGGCUUCGGACAAAUAGCUGAACGGUUUGGAACGGCCGGCCAAAGACGGUGAGAGCCCGGUAAGCGUUUGAAAGAAGUCCUAGCGGGUACCCGAGUACCGCAGGACACGUGCAAUCCGGCGGGAAUCCGGGAGGACCAUCUCCCAAGGCUAAAUACUACCCACCGACCGAUAGUGUACAAGUACCGCGAGGGAAAGGUGAAAAGAACCCCGGCGAGGGGAGUGAAAUAGAACCUGAAACCGUACGUCUACAAGCAGUGAAAGCGCUAUGGUCUUCGGACAAUGCGCGAUCACGUACCUUUUGCAUAAUGAGCCUGCGAGUUAUCGUGUGUGGCAAGGUUAAGCCGUAAGGUGGAGCCGAAGCGAAAGCAAGUCUUAACAGGGCGUUCAGUCGCAUGCGAUAGACCCGAAACCUUAGCGAUCUAUCCAUGGCCAGGUUGAAAGGCGGGUAACACCGCUCGGAGGACCGAACUCACUAAGGUUGAAAACUUAGGGGAUGAGCUGUGGAUAGGAGUGAAAGGCUAAUCAAGCUCGGAGAUAGCUGGUUCUCCCCGAAAUAUAUUGAGGUAUAGCCUCGAGUGAAUUGCGCCGGAGGUAGAGCACUGAAUGGGCUAGGGGUCCCACUAGAUUACCAAACCCAAUCAAACUCCGAAUGCCGGUGACAACUGCUCGGGAGUCAGACUGCGGGAGAUAAGUUCCGUAGUCGAGAGGGAAAGAGCCCAGAUCGUCGGCUAAGGUCCCAAAAUCUAUGCUAAGUGUCAAAGGAUGUGGAAGCGCCCUGACAACCAGGAGGUUGGCCUAGAAGCAGCCAUCCUUCAAAGAAAGCGUAAUAGCUCACUGGUCGAGCGAGUCCGCGCCGAAAAUGUAACGGGGCUCAAGCAUAGUACCGAAGCUGCGGGUUCUCGAAAGAGAGCGGUAGGCGAGCAUCGUCAAGGAGAUACACGCCGGACGGAAACGACCGGUACCGGCCUUGACGAGAGCUUAUGCAGGCAUGAGUAGCGUUAAACCGAGUGAGAAACUCUGGUCGCCGUAAGCCCAAGGUUUCCUGGGGAAGGAUAAUCCUCCCAUGGGUUAGUCGGCUCCUAAGCCAAGGCCGAAAGGCGUAGGUGAUGGGAAGCAGGUUAAUAUUCCUGCACCACCAGGGAUGGCGUUGAAGCAAGCAGGGACGGAGAAGGGUAGGCCGGGCGCAGCGUAAGGUCGUCUGCGUUCAAGCCCGUAGGAGGGACCAUUAGGACCCAAUAGGGACAAACGGUGGUUCAUGACUCCGAGAGGUGAUGAGGUCCGGACUUGUCCGGGACACCCGGUGAUCCCAUGCUUCCAAGAAAAGCUGCGUGCAGAGCCCCUCUGGUGACCGUACCGCAAACCGACUCAGGUGGGCGGGGUGAGUAUCCCAAGGCGCGUGAGAGAACCCUGGUUAAGGAACUAGGCAAAAUAACACCGUAACUUCGGGAGAAGGUGUGCCGUUGAUGGUGAAGCCCUCCUCGGGCCGAGCUGUUGGCGGUUGCAGCGAAAUGGGGAUUGUGACUGUUUACUAAAAACAUAGGACUCUGCAAAGUCGAAAGACGACGUAUAGGGUCUGAUGCCUGCCCGGUGCUGGAAGGUUAAGGGGAAGUGUCAGCGCAAGCGAAGCACCCAACCGAAGCCCCAGUAAACGGCGGCCGUAACUAUAACGGUCCUAAGGUAGCGAAAUUCCUUGUCGGGUAAGUUCCGACCUGCACGAAUGGCAUAACAACAUUCCCGCUGUCUCAACCAGGGACUCAGCGAAAUUGCAUAGGGGGUGAAGAUGCCCUCUACCCGCGGCAAGACGGGAAGACCCCAUGAACCUUUACUGCAACUUGGCAGUGAACUUCGGGAUGUUCUGCGUAGGAUAGGUGGGAGGCGUUGAAGCCGGGCUUCCGGGUUCGGCAGAGCCACCGUUGAAAUACCACCCUGAACAUUCUGGGGUUCUAACCUAGGCCCGUGAUCCGGGUCGGGGACACUGCCUGGUAGGCAGUUUGACUGGGGCGGUCGCCUCCAAAAUCGUAACGGAGGCGUGCGAAGGUUCCCUCAGCCUGAUUGGAAACCAGGCGUAGAGUGCAAACGCAUAAGGGAGCUUGACUGUGAGACCGACAGGUCGAGCAGGUGCGAAAGCAGGUCUUAGUGAUCCGGUGGUUCCGAAUGGAAGGG